CAAGUACUCCCUCCAUCCGGAAUUACUUGUCAUCAAAAUGGAUGUGUCUAGAACUAAAAUACAUCUAGAUACAUCCAUUUCAAUGACAAGUAUUUUCGGACAGAGGGAGUACAAG
rnacentral:pre_miRNA from 1 species